rnacentral:snRNA from 1 species
GUGCUCCCUUUGGCAACACAUAUACUAAAAUUGGAAUGAUACAGAGAAGAUUAUCAUGGCCCCUGCACAAAGAUGACACACAAAUUCGUAAAGCAUUCCAUAUUUUU